ensembl:lncRNA
CUUGUUGCCACUGCGACCAUAAACAGGCCAUUCAACACUGCACCAGGAAGUUGCAGAGCUGGGUAAGUGGAGAGGUCCACUCUUGUUCUCUGAUGUGCCUUUUUCCUCUUUUUGUGUCAGCAGCCUUCAUAAGCCUUUCUUCACUUAGUAAAACCUCAGAAAGCUCCUAAGGAGAGGUUUUGUUCUUGUGACAUGUUAGCCAUUAUUCUUAUUUUUUCCUCCUUUACAGGUUCUUUUUCAUCUCUGCCGGAUCACUUCACCUUAGAGAAACCAGCUACCACGUGCUAAACCAUCAUCCUGGCUUUCAUAAGAGAAGAAAAGAGAAAUUUGCGGAUGAUGGCCAGCAGAGUCUCUCAGGUGUAGAACAUGAGAAGGACGCCUAUGGGAAUUCGGAGAAAGGUGGAGGAGUGUCUUUGAGCAAUAUCUCCUCAAAUCAACACAGUGAUUCAAUUCAAUAAAUAGUUUUUGAGUAUCAACAAGGUACAGAACAUGACACCAGGAAGAGUGGGAAUGCACCAAUGAACAAGACAGAGCAGCUCAAAGUCUAGGGAUCGAGAAAACACAGACAAGCAACUCUUCUUGGUCUUCCAAUAAGUUCUGUAGAAAGACAAAAGAUUGAUGAGAACCAUCGUUUUGAGUCUACACUUGUAAGUGAAACAGAACAUGAGCACAAUCAUAGAAGAUAAGGAGCCACAAAACUUCACUCUAUUUUCAAAGUUGCAGUCAAAAUAUUGCACUCUACACUGUGGCAACGAGACACGCCCUGAAGACAGAGAGCUUUACAACUUCACAAGAAAACAGAGAAACCAAGAUAUCUUGCGAUAUCAGAAGGACACUCAAGACUUGGAGCUACUUCACCCAACAAGAGUUUCACACUGGGGUCUCCCAUCUCUACCUGCUCAAUACUUCAGGCCCAUACAUUUCCUGACAUCAGAUUCUUCACCAAGAACCUUUUUGUGGUCCAUUCUCUUAGGGCACAAUUCUCUAGUGAUAGGAAAUGAUCCUGUCAAACCAUCCAUAUUCAUUAACCUUGAUGAUGAUACCUCUGUUAGGUACCUGCUUUGUGUGUAAAAAGUGAACUUCUGGAGAUACAAUUGUACGUGAAAAGACUAUUUCAGUUGCAGAGAUUUCAUCCAUAAUGGCAAGCUGGCAGAAAAGAGCAGGUGCUAACAAAACUUGGGGACCUGUAAAAUCAUGCCAAACAGAAAGUGGCCCGCAUUGCCCAGGCAGGAGUCAGUGCAUGGGGAGGAUAUGCUCUUCCACUUUUGCAAGUUCCUGCUAUGCUGGUUCACUCAUAGGAAAUGGGCAAUGCUUUUUUCUGACACUUUCACUCCAGGUCUCCAGCCUGUGGAGUGUAAAACUAAACUGAAGUCUAGGUAAUCAGGCCUUUAUAAACAAAAGCAGAAAAUAUAUCUUGGCACACAAAUGCUCUCAGUUUUGUUUCUCUCUCUCUCUCUCCAUAUCUAUUAAACACUUCCAGUGGUGCCGAUGUAUGAGCAUGGCAACUGAAAACUGGGCUUAAGUUGAGCACAAAAUCAAUGCAUUUGGGCAUUCAUUCAUUCAUUAAUUUAAUUUCAGUUACUUAAGCAUGUACUCAACAAAAGCUUAUGGAGCCUUUACUAUAUGCUAGGCAGUAUGCUGGUCCCUGGGGAUAUAGAAAGAACAAGGUAUGGCCCCUGGCUCCAGAAGAUUUCAGUCUACUGGACAAAUGAACAGCAAAUUAAGAUGCAGUUGUGAUAAGCUCAGGGUAUAAUAGGAACUUAGAGCACAAGCAUCUAGAACAGUCUUACAGGGUCAGGAAAAGCUUCAUAGAAGACAUGGUAUCUAAGUUGAAUCAUGAAAGAAGCAGAGGGGGCAGCCUAUGAAGACAGACCAAAGGUUUACAUUCUUGGCAGUGAGUCCAGGCUAAAAGUAAGAGAGAUCAGAGUUUAUGAUAGGAGCAGUGAGUUUUUCAGUAUGACCAGACACAGAGCAGGACAGGGAGAAUUGAAAGAGAUGAAUUUGGAGAGAAAAUCAUGAAGAAGUUCAAAUGGAAUGUUACACGUUUUUGGUAUCAUUUACAGCCAAAGGCCCAGCUGGGUAGAACUUCUCUGAGGGUGCCACUUGAAUGACUAAGGUCAUAGAACUAUAAUAUUGGAAGGAGUUUAGAGGUAACGUAAUAUAACAGCUGCCCCCAGUGCAUAAGCACUCUGCAAAACAUCUAGACAGGUACCCAAGCAGCCUCCCUAGUGAGUACCUUCAAUAGGAGGAAUCCACUACUUGACAGAGCAGCCCUCUCCCUCCAAGUCCAAGAAUCUGUGAUGUUCUUCCAUCUUUCUUCAAGGAGAGAUCAUCUGAUGGUUCCUGCCUUCAAGGGAUUUACAUUUUAAUGAUUGUGUGAAUGAUCCAUCAAUUGCUAGAUAAAAUAAUCUGGAAAUAACUGAACUGAUAAAACAGAUGAUAAAAUAGUAGACUAGAGUGUAGUAUUACCAGAAAACCUGAAAGCAGCCCAGAUGUCCUUCAGUAGGUGAGUGGUUAAUAAACUGUGGCGGGACAUCCAGAUAAUGGAACAUUAUUCAGCGCUAAAAAGAAAUGAGCUAUCAAACCAUGAAAAGAUGUGAAGGAAGCAAUGCAUAUUACUCAGUGAAAAAAAGUCAAUCUGAAAGGCUACAUACUGUGUGAUUCUAACUAUGUGACAUUCUGAAAAAGGCAAAACUGUGGAGACAGUAAAAAGAUCAGUGGUUGCCAGGAGUUAGGGGAAGUGAGAAAUAAAUAGGUGGAGCAUGGAGGAUUUCCAGGGCAGUGAAAAUGGGCUGUACGACACUGUAACGAUGGAUCCAUGGCAUUAAAUAUUUGUCCAAACCCACAGAAUUUACAACAUCGAGAGUGAACCCUAAUGUAAACUGUGGACUCUGGGGGAUAAUGAUGUGUCAAUGUAGGUUCAUCAAUUAUCAUAAAUGUACCUCUCUGAUAGGGGAUGAUGACAAUAGGGGAGCUGUGUGUGUAUGACGGCAGGGCUAUGUGGGAAAUUUCUGCACCUUCUGCUCAAUUUUGUUGUGAACCUAAAACUGCUCUAAAAAGUAAAGUCUUUUUUUUUAAAAAAAAAAUAUGUAAAUAGGUAAGGGCAAAAUGCAAUUCAUGUGCAUGAAAAAUAUGGUUGCAUAGAAACAUUGGCCAUCUACAGAUAAAGGCAGAAAGUAAAAUAAGUUCAGAAAUCCUGGGCAGUGCCUGUCAGGACUACCUGAAGGGAGGCUGGGAGAAUAGGAAAGAGACAGCUGCAAGAAAGGGUGAACGUGGGCUAUGUAGAAACGGGGUCAAUUAAACAAACCUUGUUGACUCUGGGAUCUGGCUGCUGCAUCUCUUUUAAGUGUGGCUCAGGGACUUCCCACCAGGUUUGGGAAGGAACAGCUUCUGCUGGAGAGCUUGUAUUCUGGAUAUCACACCAAUCCAAUAAGGUCUUGGAGACCUAUUGAUAGGAAUGACAUGAAAUCUUUUAUAAAGAAAAUCACCCUCCACAAUUUAAUAGAUGUCUACAUACUUUAAGUCUGAUUAAACAGAACAAACUCGAUUAUAGCAGCAGUAAAUGAUACCCAAACUAUGGAGACUGGGGACACUCCUUCAACCCAGGUACCAAGACAGUCAGGAAAGGAAGAUUUGAGGAGUAAAUCGGACUUUAAGAACAUAUCACGCUUCAUCCCAUAGAAAGCUGCUCAUAGGUCCCAUUCUGUACCUUCUUUUACUCUCAUUUUGGGUGUGAAUUAUGUUCUUAUUCUCUUUUCCACAUCCAUGAGUCCUUUUUGGCUUUUUAAGGCCAGGUCUGUGUGGUUACAAUUAGCAGGGGUUUCAAGCUCUUAAUUCUGUUCUUCUGCCUCCAGGGAAAAUUGUUUUCUAUUGAUUCUUAGAAAACUCAGCACCUCAAUUUGUGCCUCAUAAAGCAGGGAUCCUUCUUCUUCUCAAAUAAUCCAGCUCUUCCACGCCAGUGUUUUGGAACCAUCACUGUGUGACAUUUUGGAUUGUCUAUGUGUAUUGCCAGCCCCUAGGGUUGUUACUGAGCUCUCUCAGGCUUCCUUGGGACCUGCUACCUUGCAUUCAUUUCCUAUCGCUACUGUAACAAAUUACCAAAAAUCAGUGAUUAAAACAAAACAGAUUUACUAUCUUAUCAUUCUGGAGGCCAGAGGUCCUAAACUCAAUGUGUGACAGGGCUGCAUUCCCACUGCAUUCUAUGGAGAAGUCAUUUCCUUUUCUUUUCCAGAUUCUGGAAGUUGUCUGCAUUCCUUGGUUUGUGGCCUUCUCUUUAAUCUUCAAAAGUAGGAGUGUAGCAUCUUUAAAUCUCAUUCAUUCUCCUUCUGUCUCCCUCUCCUUUUUAUGAGCCAAAUGGUAAAAACAUACAGUCUAUGUCCUCGAACCAAAAUACACUUAUUCUGGAAGGCCAGAAAAGACUUCUGAGUCUCUUAUAUUUAGCAUCAUUCUAUGCCUCAGUAGCAGCCUUUUCUUCAACAUCAGCUUCUCUGGGCAAAGGAGUAAGCAUUUGUACAACUUUGCAGUCAGGCGCCAGAAUUCUUGUAUAUAGCACAAUGCUCCUGAAGAUUGGUCACCCUAUAGACUGUGUGGAUUGUUACUUCUGUGUCAGCCAGUCAAUCAGUUCUUUGGAAUCAAGAAAUAUCUAUUAAGCUCCCGUUAUUGUGCCAGGUACUCUGCUACAUGCAGGGGAGACAGCAGUGAAUAAUAUAGAUGUUCAAGUAUUACCAAUGGAAAGCAUCAAAUAGGCAAACAGUGGAGCAAGAAGUGAAGCAUAGCUGUUUGUUAAGCAUGCCUUGAUGAGCAGAAUAGCAGACUGCAAAAAUAACGUAAUGCAAAGGAGGAAAGGUUGGAGUCUGGCUGUAUAAUAAAACUCUACUUUACUGGUUGCUCAAGAAUAAUCAGUAAGAAUUAAAAGAAGUAGACCCCACAUUCAGAAAGUUUUCAGUGUAACUGGGAAGACAGAAUGUUAUACGUAAAAUGACAUGAGAAGAAUUACUCAAUUAUAAGCAUAAAUCAAGAGCAGGAGCAGGGGUCCAGAAGGAAGAAUAAUCUAACAGAAUGAGGGGCAAUUAGUGAAAGGAGUGGUUGGAGCAUUAAUGGAAGGAAGCUGAAGAGCAAUGUAUUGGGAGCAAAGGAAGAUUUGGACAUUCAAGAGAGUUUCCAACGCAGAGGAGGAAUUGCUGGUGGUGGGAUAAAAUCGUUCUGCAAAGUGCAUCCACAUGGGUGCUGGCAAGUACAGAUGAAAGUUGCUAAAUAAAUGUCACCUGUGGUUACAAAAUUUAUGCUUCUUGAGAGAUGGGACUGUGUCUUAUGUACCACUCUAGCAGUAGAACUUGAAGUAGUGCCUGGCACAGAGUAGGCAAUCAGCAAAUAUUUGUUGAAAGAAUAAGUGAAUCAAUAAAUGAAUAUAUAGAUAAAGGGACCCAUACGUCAUAGCACUUUAGAUCAGGGACAGUAAUAGAUAGACUUGGCUUACCUCUCUGGAAGGCAAUAAUAAACACCUGAAAGCAGGCGAUUAUCACCUGUCUUUGUCUGCAUAGGGAGCCAAAGAAACCAAGGCCCAGAGAUGGCCGGCCUUAAGUCACAGUCACAGCUUGUGCCUACAGAUCUGAGCAGGAAUGGAAGCUCAGGGCUCUUUCUAUUACAUACACCCCAUAAAAGUUCUUACAGGCCUGGUUAUAGAAUCCCACAAAAACAAGAAUGAGUAAAGAAACAGGAUUGUUUCUAGGAACUUCUCUGUUUUUACAACUCCCCAUCCUUAUCUCUUUCAAGUCAUCUGCUCCUCCCCAGUGUUUUUUGUGGCAUCAACCCCCACCCCCUGGCCCGGGACUGAGAGCCACUGGCUAGACCAAGCCAUUAGCUGAUGGAAGAAAAGCCUGCAGACAGGGGAACUGACAGAGUGAAGUGCAUUAGACUAAAUAUUCGCUCCAAAGGAAGUCCCAAAGCAAUUAAUUGCCACACUCUUUAUGUAAACAAUUUUCUCUUUCCUUCACUUUACCUCAGCAGGUCUUUCAAUAUCUUAUGCUGUCCAGAAUACCUCUGAAAACUGCCCUCAGCUUUUCUCAGUUUGGUCCUUUAGAACUGGGAAUUUCUUUUAGCCAUUGUCGCAAUUAAUUGGGGCUCUUAGAUGGAUUUUGUGAAUAAAGUGAUUUAUGAAACACUGUUCUUCCAAAGAAUAAUUUUCCAUCUAUCAGGCAGAGAAGUUAAAGUGGGAGAAAAUGGUGAUGACGGAACUAGAAGGGUCUUGUUCCUCUGUCUCUGGUGUCCCCUGGAGUUUACACCUGAGCAGCUCCACCUCUUUUCCAACUCUACAUUCCCUCACCAGGAGAAACCAAGAUGGUCCUCGACAAUGCAGAGCGAUUCUCCAGCAGGGGACAAAGAAAGGAAGUAGAAAUGAAAUAUAGACUGGGACAAGAGGGGACAGAAGAGCAACAGUAAUAUUGUGAACACAAAAAAGAGCUGUGACCUCUCAGAUCCCCAUCCCCAGAUGUCUCUUCCCCUUUCUCGCCCAGCGCGCCAGGCAAGGCAAUGGAGGCAGCUUUGAGGGUGAACCCUCGGAUGUGUGUUGCUGAGUGGAGUGUUAGGUGGCAGGGGGCUUUGUCCGAAAGGAAUGAGUGCUGAGGAGACCUGCUCAUCAUGGUCGGUGGCAGAGAAUCAGAUAUGAGAAACUAACCAAGGAAGUCCAUGAGAGAAAGUAUGACAAGGAGGGGUGGUGAGAAGGGAAAGAGGAGAGCAUAAAUGGGCACUCCUGUGACACAGACCAAUUUUCUGACAAACAUUUGCUUAAUCUCCGUAUCUCUAGAAUGACGGAUGAAUGGCUAACUGAAUGACUCUGCUUAAUGAAUGUUUAGAAAAAGGAAGUAGCAGCCCCAGCAGAAAAGGGUUCCAUCACUCUUUGGAUCAGAACUAGCACUUGGCUCUGGCCUUGGAACAUCUGCUAUGACUUUCAUCUCUUGGGCAUGUUAAGGUUAGAAGGUCAGCAAUACCUCCCCUUGCUUUGACUUCAUUGGUCUCCAGCCUCCCUUAUGAUGGUGCUAUUAAAGGGGGUAUAACGUUGCCCCUCUUGGCUUGCCUACUCUUUGGGGAUUUUCCUAUAACUUUGAAGCAUUUUUAAUCAAAAUUCAGUUAGGUGUAAUCAUGUAAUUAAAAUCCCUCCCAAGGAAAGGAGAAGGGCAAAAUGAGGUCCUUGAGAGUCUUCUGCUUUUUGACUUUUAGUGGGUGUGCUUCUGCCUGAGGCUCUUUCUCAGGUAAUUGUCCUGGUUGACUAAGCCCAGUGUUUUCCUCCUCUUCACCACAUACCCCUACAGGACUGCCAGAGAAAUUCUUCCUUUUUUGUAUACUGAAAUAAGCAUCAUAUAAGCCUAGGUUUUCAAAUAAAAUAGAUAGCCUGAGAAUCAUUUCAAUUAAAAAGUAGAUAGCCGGGAGGUACACUGUAUACAUUUAGCUCAUGAAAACUUACAAGGAGAUGAAACAAAGAGAGUUUAGGGUUCUCAAUGAGGAACGCUCUCUAUGGGGGUAUCUGUCUUUGCACACUGAGGAAAGCCUGGGAGAGCACAGGGAGACAGCCCGAGCACAUCUGCUCCCAGCAGGUACUAUUUGUGUAGUAUGUGAGGUUCCCAAAGGAGCAGAUGGACCAGAGAAUGCAGUAAGGUUGCUUGGUUCGGGGACAACCUGGAAAGUAGAACUUCAAGGACACUCUACAACUAUUUCUGUGGCCACAGUCACACAGGGCAUCUACUCAACACCAUUUCAGUUCAAAAGACACACUCCCUUAUGAGCCUCAGUGGGAUAAUGCACCUUGUGCUUACACGAGUAAAGGGGGAAAACACUAAUCAAGGAGUAAGGGGGCCAGGAGCACAUGAGCUCCUGCAUCACACUGCUGAGGUUCAAAUCAUAGCUGAAUAUAAUGCCCAAUUCAUAUAAUGUCCAAGAAUUGAGGCAAGUUACCUGAUGUCUAUGUCUUAGUUUGCUUCUUUAUAAAAAGGGAAAGAUCACAGUGCCUAUGCUCUAAGUUUAUUGUGAAGGUUACACAGAAAGACAUACUUAGAAUAGAGUUUAGCCAUAGUUAGUAUGCAAUAAAUCUUAGCUAUUCUUAUUGUUAAUCUUCCCAGUAAGAUUUCCGGUAUAAGAAAUGUUCUGUUAUAAAGUUACUCCAAACUCUGUAGCAUCAUUUUCUACUUAUUUUCGAGCAACAGAAAGCUUCAAAAGAACUCUUUUAAUAUUAAAGUCUUCCAAAUCUCUGUCCUCUGUCCUGUCUAUUAGGCUCUAAGAAAAUGUUAGAUUACUCCUUAUCAAGUUUAUAGAAUGGAUUAGGUUGUGCCACUGAAUGUGACCCCCCACAAGCAUAAUAUAUAAACUACAUUGAUCAACUGUGACUUUCCAAGAAACUUAGCAACAUUACAUCUUGACCACAUUCCCAUUUAAAAGGAAUCUUUUAAAAAUGGGAAAACCAGUUAGUGACUGUCUCCUGCACUCUACUCACUCUCAUAAAAAAAAAAAAAAAAGGAAGCCAUCAUAAGCAGAAGUGAAACAUGCAAAGCAAGUUAUUCAACCUAUAAGGCUAAGGUGAGGAUUCUAAGUUGUCCAGUUAGUCCCGAGCAGUCAAAAUUCCCUUUUACACUAUCUUGACACUUUCCCUGGUUAGACUCUGUCACAUCUGUGUCUCAUUAACUUUUUCGUUUACAAGCAACGUAGUCCGGCUGCGCCAUCUAACAGCCUCUUUUCCAAAAGCUCAGAUUUUCAGACUGUCCCUCAUCCACUUCACCUGAAUAGUCACAGUAUCUAAAAGCCCCUCCAUUCUCCACCAUGAGGAACUGGUUGUCUGAGUUCAUGAGAUGUACGUUCUGAUCCAGAACUGAGGACCACUCCAGGCACCUAUGUACUGGUCUCUGGCCAGCCCUCCAAUCCACUUGCCACAACACAGCCAUCAUGAUUAUUUCAAAAGACAAACCUUACCAAAAACAAACUACCUUAAGUGGUAUCCCACUCUCUUAGGAUAAAAAAUCAAAUUUUUAACGUGGCAGACAAGUCCUUAUAGAUCCCAGCCUAAACCUCAUCUUCAUUUUGAUAGAGCUUGUCCCUCAUUCCAGCCAGACAAGCUCUAUUUGUGUUUCUUAAAUACGCUACCAAGAGUGUUUACACAUGCUGUUCCAUCCUCCUAGAAUGCUCUUUCCACUGCCCGCCUUCAGUUUUGGCUCAGGGAACUCACGCAUCCAUUCAGUCUAGCUCAGGUCUGGUUUGGGUCCUUUUGUUUCCUGAAUUUAUAGCACUGAUCUCACUUUUUAAUUACAUAUUUAUCUUUAUAAGUAUUUAAUUAAUACUUUAAUACACUCUUUAGGAUACAAACCCCAGGAGAAUAGAGACAGUUUUACUUAUUUUUGCCACCCCAAUGCUUAGCACUCAGUUAGCCUUCACAAAACGUUUGUGGAAUGAAAGCAGUUUUGUUUGAUUCAUUUAGUCUUAUAUACAUGAAAGAUUUAAUUUAAAAAGUUAAAUCAGAUUCACUUACACAUUUCAUCAUCAAUCUUCUUUACUGAAAUAAAAAUGAAAUUUACCCAAGACUGUGAUUUUCCUAGAAUAUUACCAAUGCGAGAAUCUUUAACCGAAUAUUACCUUCUCAGUGAGACAUUGCCCGACAACUGUUUCUAAAACUUAAAUUCCUGCCUGAAAAUUCUCUAUUCUUCUUCACCCACCUUAAUUUUUUCCUUAGCAUUUAUCAACAUUUAACCUAAACUCUGCUAAUUGUCUGUCUAGUUUAUUGUCAGUCUCCCACUACUGGAAUGUUAGCUCUGUGAGGGAGGAAAUUUUGACUAUUUUGUUCACAACUAUAUUUCCAUGGCCUAGAACAAAGCUUAGAACACAUUAAAAACUUAUUAAAUAUUUGUCAUCAAAUACUAUAUCUUAACACUACAAGACCCAUCAAUUCUGAUGCUAAUAUCUUCUCAACAAAACCAUAUAUGCUAUAAGGAAACAGAUAGCUUUUUCUGAUGUGAUGGGCUUUCUGGACUGAUGCUGUCCCCUGGCCACAUGUGCCAUGGAGCAAAGAAAUGUGACUAGUCAAAACUGAGAUGUGCUAUAAGUAUAAAUCAUACACUGAGUUUCAAAAGAUUAGUAUAAAAAAAAUGCAAAAUAUCUCACAAAUAGUUUUAUAUUGAUUGCAUGUUGAUAUAAUAAUAUUUUGAAUAAACUGCGUUAAAUAAAAUAUUUUAUUAAAGUUCACCUUUUUCUUUCCUUUUUUAAAUAACACUACUAGAAAAUUUAAAAUUACAUAUGUGGCUCAUAUUAUAUUUCUGUUGGAAAGUGCUGUU